GGGCAGCCAGGCCCAGAAGGUCAUCAUCUGCCAUCGGGGCACCCGACACUCUCUCUCAUGGACUGAUGAAAAACAACUCAAGGAACAAAAUAUUAUCCGAACAGCCAAAGUCUGGACCCCAGAGGACCCCAGAAAACUCAACAGCAAAUCUUCCUUCAACAACAUAGAAAACGAACCACCAUUUGAGUUUGUGUCCUGAGAAGUCCCAGACUCGGCUGAAGAUCUGAUUAUGUCUCUGUGCAUAUUGUACAUGUAAAUAUCUAUAAUGUAAAUGUAAUUUAAGAAUCAAAUUUUUCGAAUGGCAAUCAACUGUUUAUUAUUUAUCUAUUUAUUAUCCUGUUGAGUUGAUGAAAUAGAUGAUUUCUUUUUAAAUAUAUAAUUUAUAUAACUUAUCCUGAUUUUCUGAAAAUAUGCAAUAGCCUAUGAUUUUCCUGAACUCUGUGUUGUUGGGAGAAC
rnacentral:lncRNA from 1 species